AUUGAACGCUGGCGGAAUGCUUUACACAUGCAAGUCGAACGGCAGCACGGGGGCAACCCCGGUGGCGAGUGGCGAACGGGUGAGUAAUACAUCGGAACGUGCCCAGUCGUGGGGGAUAACGUAGCGAAAGUUACGCUAAUACCGCAUACGAUCUACGGAUGAAAGCGGGGGACCGUAAGGCCUCGCGCGAUUGGAGCGGCCGAUGUCAGAUUAGGUAGUUGGUGAGGUAAAGGCUCACCAAGCCGACGAUCUGUAGCUGGUCUGAGAGGACGACCAGCCACACUGGGACUGAGACACGGCCCAGACUCCUACGGGAGGCAGCAGUGGGGAAUUUUGGACAAUGGGCGCAAGCCUGAUCCAGCCAUUCCGCGUGCAGGACGAAGGCCUUCGGGUUGUAAACUGCUCUUGUACGGAACGAAAAGGCUCUGGUUAAUACCUGGGGCUCAUGACGGUACCGUAAGAAUAAGCACCGGCUAACUACGUGCCAGCCGCCGCAGUAA
rnacentral:rRNA from 1 species